rnacentral:rRNA from 1 species
UACGGAGGGAGCUAGCGUUGUUCGGAAUUACUGGGCGUAAAGCGCGCGUAGGCGGCUUUGUAAGUUAGAGGUGAAAGCCCGGAGCUCAACUCCGGAACUGCCUUUAAGACUGCAUCGCUUGAACGUCGGAGAGGUAAGUGGAAUUCCGAGUGUAGAGGUGAAAUUCGUAGAUAUUCGGAAGAACACCAGUGGCGAAGGCGACUUACUGGACGACUGUUGACGCUGAGGUGCGAAAGCGUGGGGAGCAAACAGG